rnacentral:sRNA from 1 species
GCCACCCUGUUGAAGCAGCUGAAAGAGGCCCGAGUACAGUAUCCUCUCCAGACAUUUGCAAUUGGCAUGGAAGACAGCCCCGAUUUACUGGCUGCUAGAAAGGUGGCAGAUCAUAUUGGAAGUGAACAUUAUGAAGUCCUUUUUAACUCUGAAGAAGGCAUUCAGGCUCUGGAUGAAGUCAUAUUUUCCUUGGAAACUUAUGACAUUACAACAGUUCGUGCUUCAGUAGGUAUGUAUUUGAUUUCCAAGUAUAUUCGGAAGAACACAGAUAGCGUGGUGAUCUUCUCUGGAGAAGGAUCAGAUGAACUUACGCAGGGUUACAUAUAUUUUCACAAGGUAACCACUCUGAAGUGGAGGGAUAUUCAUGCUAUAUUAAGAAAAGUAUGAAUUGUUUGACUAUUUUCUAUCAUCUUUCAGUAUGACUAAUAUUUUUGAGUAUCUUGUGAGGUUACAAAAGGGAAUCUGAUAGUGUUUGCUUUCUAUCUCUUGGGGAAGAAAGAAAUUUUAAUGUGUCAGAUAAUUUUUAUUCUUUAAAACUAGUUACAGCUGGGUAUGAUGGCUCAUGCUUAUACCCCCAGAUGCUGAGGAGGCUGAGGUGGGAGGAUCACCUGAACCCAGGAGAUCGAGGCUGCAGUGAGCUGUGAUUGCACCACUGCACUCCUGCCUGAUUGACAGAGCAAGACCCUGUCUCUAAAA